ACACAGAGUAACACAGAGAAAACAAUAUUCCCUUUAAAUUGCAUUUGUCAUUCUAUGUAUCAGCUACCUACUAAAUGUAACUUUAUGUGAUCUCUGCUACAUACAGCUAUAAGAUAUUAAUACUGCAACCAAAACAUCAAAAAGCCACCCUCAUCUGAUAUUUGGACAUUCAUUCUAAGUGAGCGCAAAUGGUGAUUGAAAAAAAAAAAGAGAGGUGUGCGGGUGUCGUGUGGGCCAACGGACCCCGUAGAUCCCGUGAGUCACACAUGAGGCACGGGGAAAGGAAACUGGUGCUAGCUUUGAUUAAAAAUCCCAUCCCUCUGAGGAUGAGGUGACCUGUGCCAACAGAAGCUAGAGAAGAACCGGCUAAAUGCCUGGUCACUGCAGGAGCCACUGGAAGAGAGCAAAGGAGCUGCCUUUGCCAAUGUUAAAGAAACAGGGUCAAGACUCCAACUAAGCAAUAGAAGGAGUGGAAUUGCUGGAUCUUGUGAUAGACUGGAUUCCCAUUUUCUUGAGGAGUCUCCAUACUGAUUUCCAAAGUGGCUGUACAAGUUGGCACUCCCGCCUUUCCGCCGACCGAUCCACAACGAGAGGCAUAACUCCUUCAGAGUGAGGAGACUACCAGGAGAGGCAAGACCAUCCAGAGCUGCCGACAUUGAAUUCCUGCCCUACCCACACCACUGGGUCACAAGAGGAGAUAGAGAGACUCCACCUGCACCCACUGGAAGAAGAUAUGAGAGAAGACAGAAUAAGAACUCACUCAACAACAGAAAGACCAAUAUGACACCACCAGAAUCUAGGGACUCCACUCCAGCAAGAUCUGAAAAGCCCAACACAGAACAUGAAGAAGAGAUAGACCUCAAAAAUUAUCUCGGCAAGAUGACAGAGACCUUUAAAGAGGAAACAAGAAAAUCACUUAAAGAAAUAGAAGAAAAAGCAAGCAAAAAAUUUCACAAAAUGGAGGAAAAGACAAACCAAAAAACUCAAGAAAUAAACAAAUCUCUUAAAGAAUCUAAAGAAACCCAAGAAAAAAACAACCCAACACGUGAAGGAAGCUCUUGAAACAGUUCAAAGCAUGAAAGCUAAAAUAAACACAAUAAAGAAAACACAGAAUGAAGUGAUGCUGGAAAUGGAAAGGCUGGAUCAGGAACUAAAGAUGUGAGUAUAACUAAUAGAAUUCAAGAGAUGGAAGAGAGAAUCUCAGCUACUGAAGACUCGCUAGAGGAUAUACAUUCAUCAACCAAAGAAAACCUCAAGUCCAACAAAUCCCUAACACAAAAUAUCCAGGAUAUAUGGAACACCCUGAAAAGACCAAACCUAAGAAUAAUAGGUAUAGAAGAAGGUAAAGAAACACUGCUCAAAGGUACAGAAAACAUAUUCAACAAAAUCAUAGAAGAAAACUUCCCCAACCUACAGAAGGAUAUGCCUAUGAAAGUACAAGAAGCUUACAGGACACCAAA
rnacentral:lncRNA from 1 species